UAAAAGAUAAGCUAAAAAAGCUAAUGGGCUCAUAUCUCAUUUAUGAUUUAUUCUCUUUUAA
rnacentral:tRNA from 1 species